rnacentral:rRNA from 1 species
UACGUAGGGGGCAAGCGUUGUCCGGAUUUAUUGGGCGUAAAGAGCGUGUAGGCGGCCUGACAGGUCUGCUGUGAAAACUCGAGGCUCAACCUCGAGAUGUCGGCGGAAACCGUCUGGCUAGAGUCCGGAAGAGGAGAGUGGAAUUCCCGGUGUAGCGGUGAAAUGCGCAGAUAUCGGGAAGAACACCUAUGGCGAAGGCAGCUCUCUGGGACGGUACUGACGCUGAGACGCGAAAGCGUGGGGAGCGAACAGG